rnacentral:rRNA from 1 species
AGUGAACGCUGGCGGAAGGCCUAACACAUGCAAGUCGAACGGCAGCACGGGGGCAGCUCGGGCGGCCGGGGGCGGACGGGCGGGCGAUACAGGAGAACGUGGGCAUCUGCGGUGUAGUACGGAGCGACGGAUACGCACUUACCCCAAUCGAUCAGAGGAUCAACGCGGGGAAGCUUCGGACCUCCCGCCCUCGCGCCAGCCGAUGACAGGAUGGCGGAUUAGUUAGUUGGGGGGGUAAAGGCCCACCAAGCCGACGAUCCGUAGCUGGUCUGAGAGGAUGAUCAGCCACACUGGGACUGAGACACGGACCAGACUCCUACGGGAGGCAGCAGUGGGGAAUUUUGGACAAUGGGCGCAAGCCUGAUCCAGCCAUACCGCGUGCGGGACGAAGGCCUUCGGGUUGUAAAAUGCUUUUGUUAGGAAAGAAAAGGAUCUGGUUAAUACCUGGGGGUUAUGACGGUACCGUAAGAAUAAGCACCGGCUAACUACGUG